rnacentral:rRNA from 1 species
CCUACGGGAGGCUGCAGUGGGGAAUAUUGGACAAUGGGGGGAACCCUGAUCCAGCCAUGCCGCGUGUGUGAAGAAGGCCCUCGGGUUGUAAAGCACUUUCAGUGAGGAAGAACGCCUGGUGGUUAAUACCCAUCAGGAAAGACAUCACUCACAGAAGAAGCACCGGCUAACUCCGUGCCAGCAGCCGCGGUAAUACGGAGGGUGCGAGCGUUAAUCGGAAUUACUGGGCGUAAAGCGCGCGUAGGUGGCUUGAUAAGCCGGUUGUGAAAGCCCCGGGCUCAACCUGGGAACGGCAUCCGGAACUGUCAAGCUAGAGUGCAGGAGAGGAAGGUAGAAUUCCCGGUGUAGCGGUGAAAUGCGUAGAGAUCGGGAGGAAUACCAGUGGCGAAGGCGGCCUUCUGGACUGACACUGACACUGAGGUGCGAAAGCGUGGGUAGCAAACAGGAUUAGAUACCCGUGUAGUU